UCGUCUGUUGUUGGACUUGUGGCAAACGAGGAAAAACCGUUCUAGAUUGUUAACUUUUACCAGAUAUUCAUACAUAGUUGUAAUUGGUACCUGCUUGUUAAGAAUUACCAGAGGAAAAUAAAAAUGAACGAGCUCUUAGUUUGCAGUCUUCAGUCUUACGUCUUAUCUAAUUGCCAUCUUUUCCGUCAUGAUGAGUUACAAUCUGUGCAUCAAUCUGUUAACUGACAGGUUGUCAGUCGAUGUGCGAAUAUGACUGUCAAAUUUUUGCGCUUUGGCGCAAAUAAUGCAAAAACAAGUUACUGUCAAAAUCAUAAGUUACCGAACUGUAAAAAUUUAAACUUCAAAUUAAGUCCAAGUAUAUUGUAUUAUCAAGGCACACAAUAUCUUGAAUUACCAAUUUUAAAAUUUGGAUAACACCUGUUUUAUUUUGUCAUAUAUUAUGAGAAGAACUUGGGCGGGGCGGGAUUUUAAUUUUGUUUCUCAUUAAGUCUAAGACUCUAUUAUUACAAUGAGCUCUAAAUAAAGAAUGCGCUGUAUUUAUAUGUUAAUUAAGAAUAUGGAGUGAUAUAGAUAGUUCUGUGUGCUACGCAUCUAAUAGCCCUAUUUUUUUUUUAAAUAUGUACAGAAUAUGGAUGACAAUAUAAACAGCUAUGUGUCUUUAUUGAAACCUAGAGGAAUAUUAAAAGAAUUACUAUGUUCUGAGAUUAUAAAACAUAAACAAAAAGAAAAUAAAGAUGUCGGAAAACAAGUCAUAACACCAAAACAUAAUCCAGGUAAUUCAGCAAUUGAUGAUCUUGAUACCAAAGGAAACAA